rnacentral:rRNA from 1 species
UACGUAGGGGGCGAGCGUUGUCCGGAUUCAUUGGGCGUAAAGAGCUCGUAGGCGGUUCAGCAAGUCGGGUGUGAAACCUCCAGGCUCAACCUGGAGACGCCACCCGAUACUGCUGUGACUUGAGUCCGGUAGGGGACCACGGAAUACCUGGUGUAGCGGUGAAAUGCGCAGAUAUCAGGUGGAACACCGGUGGCGAAGGCAGCUCGCUGGGACGGUACUGACGCUGAGGUGCGAAAGCGUGGGGAGCGAUCCGG